rnacentral:rRNA from 1 species
GAUCCUGGCUCAGGACGAACGCUGGCGGCGCGCCUAACACAUGCAAGUCGAACGAGAGAGAGGGAGCUUGCUUCCUCAAUCGAGUGGCGAACGGGUGAGUAACGCGUGAGGAACCUGCCUCAAAGAGGGGGACAACAGUUGGAAACGACUGCUAAUACCGCAUAAGCCCACAGGUCGGCAUCAACCAGAGGGAAAAGGAGCAAUCCGCUUUGAGAUGGCCUCGCGUCCGAUUAG